CGGAUCUCAUGGGGGUGUCCGGCCCGGCCUCGAAAUUGCUCGUUUCGCGCGAUUUUCUGACGUCGGUGCAAAGAGGACUGAGAGGUUGCGGCCAACCCCGAAGCACCUGAUCCGGGUCAUGCCGGCGGAGGGAAUUGAGAGAUGAACGUGC
rnacentral:ncRNA from 1 species